rnacentral:tRNA from 1 species
GCGGGUGUAGCUCAGUGGUAGAGCAUCGGCUUCCCAAGCCGAGUGUCGCCGGUUCGAGCCCGGUCACCCGCUCCA